CUCAUUACAAUGAUGCGGUUCC
rnacentral:siRNA from 1 species